rnacentral:misc_RNA from 1 species
GAUAGAAGAACGUAGCGAAAUGCGAUAAGUAGUGUGAAUUGCAGAAUUCAGUGAAUCAUCGAAUCUUUGAACGCACAUUGCGCCCUUUGGUAUUCCAAAGGGCAUGCCUGUUCGAGCGUCAUUUGUACCCUCAAGCUUUGCUUGGUGUUGGGCGUCUUGUCUCUAGCUUUGCUGGAGACUCGCCUUAAAGUAAUUGGCAGCCGGCCUACUGGUUUCGGAGCGCAGCACAAGUCGCACUCUCUAUCAGCAAAGGUCUAGCAUCCACUAAGCCUUUUUUUCAACUUUUGACCUCGGAUCAGGUAGGGAUACCCGCUGAACUUAAGCAUAUCAAUAAGCGGAGGA